AGAAGGGCAAAAUUUAAUAGGAUUUAGGCUUUAUGGAUAUAAAUGGCUAAACAUAAGGCUUAGGUUUAACGGAGAAGCUGAGCCAAAUUCAACCGGGUUUGGACUUUAGGGAUAUAGAGGGCCAAAUUUACACAAUUUAGGUUGGCCAGAGAAGAAGGGUUAAACAUAAAGUUUAGGCUGAAUGGAUAUGAAAAGUUAAACACAAAAUUUAGGUUUCAUGAACAUGAAAAAGAAGUUUGGGUUUUAAUGGAAAGGGGUCAAAUCAACAUUUUGGGCUUUAUGCGGAACGGGGGGACAAAUCUAACCAUAUUUGAGUUUGAUGGGUACCAGGACUAAACACAAAAUUUAGGCUUUUGCCGAACGUUGGCCAAACCAUGCUAGCAGGGCAGCGAGAGUUCUGUAAAACCGCCCUUCUUCAAUGCUUAGGAUCACUUUUGAACCGCCUUUGACAAUGAUAGGAGAUGUGACUAAAUUAAAACCCCUUAUUUUGAGAUAAUUAUUUUCACUCGUCUUUUCUAAUUUCAUGUUGCGCGCAUGGAAUGUAUUGUACAGAAACCAUUCUUUCUUUAGGUAGGGAAAACAUCAGCGAUAAACAAUAUUGUUUUCAUAAAAACCAGCAUCACCUAUCAUUUGUUUUUCAAAAUUCCUCUUUGUUUCACAAUCUCUCUCCCCUCCUCCGUAAUCUCGAACCCUAAAUCUGUAGUGAGAAAUUUAAGAUUUCAUUUUUGUAGAGACUCAUGAACCCUAUUUUGUGAAAGAAAUCUCAUAAUCAUUUUCCCUAAUUUCUCACAUUGGUCAAGGCAAUCUCACAAACCUUUUUCCAUAUUGUGAUUUCAACAUCAACACUUAAAUUGGUUCGAAAAAAGCUGUACGAUUAACAUUUAAUUUCAUUUACCAUCAAUAAAAUAAGUUCUGAGAUUUAGUAGAGGUAAAAAACCAUACACUUGUUGGGUUAUGAGUUAUUUCUUUGUGUGUUUUUGUUAUAUUCUCAAGAUUAAUUACAUAUUUUUCUUGUCGUAGUGAAUCUAAUAACCAGAGACUUAAGUUUAAUGUAGCUACUAGCGAGAAACAGAUGGCAUGUGUCGUGAGGGUACCAUUCAGUGAAGGUUAACACAAAGUUCUCACAUCAGAUCCUAUUGAAGACUUGAUAGCUCAUCGUGAACAUAGGUAUCAAAUCUUUGGAUCAUCUCUGCUUGUAGCCAUGGACCAGAGUCUCCAGGCUCCUUAUUCAGAUAUAUUAUCUGGUGAGUCUAGGGAUUUGUCUUCAAUACAAAUGGACACCAAAGAGGCGAUUGAUAGAUCUCAUUUUAGCAGUGAGACUUUGACAACAUUAGAUGACAUAAAUCGGAUAGUCACCCUGUUAACACCCAAUGUUUCAGUAUUGAGCUUGAUUUUUGAAGUUGUAUAUCAUAUUCACUUGGAUAACACCUAAAUGAUUCUUAAAAUUCUCCAUCACACCUUGCCAAAUAUAGCUAUAUGUAAUUUUAGAAACCUUGUUUAAUGAUUAAUUGGAGUUGAGGCGUGAGGUUUUCAUCAACUAUUGAUAGGUAGCUUCAUUUGUGAACUUGUUGAUAUCCUUAAAAUGGAAGUCCGGGGGAACAACAUAGUAGAAAGAGUGAAUCAUUUGCUGGUGUUCGUCCUACUUUUGAAAGAAUUUUAGCAAAUUUUCAUGAGCGGUUGACUUUUCGUACUAGGACUCGUAUACGGGAUGAGGAAAUGAGGGAAAUGUCACCAGAAAACUCCGAUGUGCUAGCUAAUGGGCAAACAACAUACACUUUGAAACGGAAGAAGCCAUAGUGGUACAUAGUUUUUUGUAUAAUCUAAUUAACACCUUCUGUUCAUAGUAACCCGCCCCUUUUCCAAACUAUAUGUAGGUAAUCAAUGGAAACAGAGCUGAAAGUAUACCUCAGCUCUAUGCCGAUGACUUUUUACUAUUUCUAUAAAUUAUUUCCAGGACUUGGAGGUGGAUGAUGACAAUACUUUAUUUGUCACUACCUCAAAUAAAGUAUGAAGAAUUCAAGGUGAGAAUCAAUGUACUUGUUGUAGAGUCUCGAAAGAAACCUGAAGAGGGGUGGGUGCUGCUAGAUGGUACAUGUGGUCAAAACACUUUAGAUUAAUGUGCAUCUUACUUAACUAAGAUUAUAUAUUAUGAUUGUUAUAAUUUAUUGUAUUAAUGUGGUUUAUAAGUUUAAUACUCUAAGUUAUGGCCUUCGUGUUUGGCCAUGGAAGUCUGUAGAACAUUCAUCAUAUACUCUUAAUAGUUGUGGUUAAUGGCAAUUCUAAAUCGAUCGCUAUAUAUAUUAUACAAUUAUGGUGGUUACAAGAGUUGCUAUUUUUAAUGAAAUAUAUAUUAUACAAUUAUGGCUAUUACAACUGUCGCAAUAAUAUAUUGGAGGCACUUUCAAAAUCGUUGCAGAAUGUUAUGGCAGUUGGAGCGACAGUUUUACAAAUCGUCGCAACACAGCCUCGCGAUGCACAUUUCUUGGAGAUGCAAUUGUCAUAACAUGCAAAUUGUGGCGGUUCUAACCGUCGUAACCUGUUAAAAUGAAUCGUCGCAAUUUGUCAAUUUUCAUGUGGUAAAUACGCCACUUCUUGACUUAUGACUGUGGGAAUCUCCUCGACUAAGGUUGGAACCACAAAACUGUCGAUGCUAGUUAUCUCCAAUUGUCUCAUAGGUUUGGAGUAUUACUUCGGGAAGAGCUUUGGUUUUUUCGAGACAUAUCAGAAAGUCGCUUACCAGUCCUCAAGUGCA